rnacentral:rRNA from 1 species
GAUGAACGCUGGCGGCGUGCUUAACACAUGCAAGUCGAACGAAGCACUUUAUUUGAUUUCCUUCGGGACUGAUUAUUUUGUGACUGAGUGGCGGACGGGUGAGUAACGCGUGGGUAACCUGCCUUGUACAGGGGGAUAACAGUUGGAAACGGCUGCUAAUACCGCAUAAGCGCACAGCAUCGCAUGAUGCAGUGUGAAAAACUCCGGUGGUAUAAGAUGGACCCGCGUUGGAUUAGCUAGUUGGUGAGGUAACGGCCCACCAAGGCGACGAUCCAUAGCCGACCUGAGAGGGGGACCGGCCACAUUGGGACUGAGACACGGCCCAAACUCCUACGGGAGGCAGCAGUGGGGAAUAUUGCACAAUGGGCGAAAGCCUGAUGCAGCGACGCCGCGUGAGCGAAGAAGUAUUUCGGUAUGUAAAGCUCUAUCAGCAGGGAAGAUAAUGACGGUACCUGACGAAGAAGCACCGGCUAAAUACGUG